rnacentral:tmRNA from 1 species
GUUGUUGGAUUUUCCCCGUAUUUGCCCUAUAAUGGUUCUUACCGGGCUUGCCCGGUUAUGAUGCUAAACGAGGUGGCGGAAUAAGCGUUGUGGACCCGGGGGCAGUGCCCGGCGGCUCCACCAAAAUACACGGCCUUACUUGUGUAUUCUGGCGGGGCCGAAACAGGAUCGACACGCGUAGUAAAGGCCAUUGAGGUAUCCGGCAUGGUAUCCGCCGUUAUCGGGCUAAAUUGAUAGUUGCCAACGAUAACUAUCCUGUGGCAGCGAACGACAACUUCGGUGGUCUUCGCGCUGUUGCCUAACGGUAACAGACACAAUGUCUA